rnacentral:rRNA from 1 species
UACGGAGGAUCCGAGCGUUAUCCGGAUUUAUUGGGUUUAAAGGGUGCGUAGGCGGCUUUUUAAGUCAGGGGUGAAAGACGGUGGCUCAACCAUCGCAGUGCCCCUCGAUACUGAAGAGCUGGAUUAAAACUUGAGGUAGGCGGAAUGUGACAAGUAGCGGUGAAAUGCAUAGAUAUGUCACAGAACACCGAUUGCGAAGGCAGCU